CCUCAUCCUAAGUCCCAGGACCCAGAGGCUGCAGUCUCAGGGCCCAGCGGUGGGUGACACCUGCCCACCAGGUGGACCUGGGGCGGGGAACCACUAGGAGCCACUAGGAUUCCUCUCUGGCGGGCCGCUGCCUGUGUCUUGGUAAAGGCAUUCGGGCUUUGCAAUUCUGGACCAAUGCGCUGUGCCCUGGGGAGGCGCAGCCCGCUUCAGGGCGGGCUCAGGGCUCUGGGCACGCAAGGGCCCUCUGCAGAGAGGACGCACGGGCUUUGGGGCGCUUGGACUCCGCUUGUGCAGGGCCCGUGGGGCCGCGGGCAGGUCGCCCGCCACCAGAAUCUCAGCGAGUUUCCAGUUUCCCGGAACCUCCGGAGGGAACCAAGGAGCAGAAGGAGUUCAGGUGCAGAAGGCAGGUGGUUCCGGAGGCAGCUCUGCCUUAGAUCCUUAAAGGGAACCGUCCCAUGUGCGGGGAACCCACCCAUCUCACAUACCUCACAGGUGUCCAGGUUGCCCCAAGGAGGAGACAAUCCAGGACCAUGUAUGGCAGAUACGCUCAGUAUACACACCUCCCUGGGGCAGACUGUCAGCCUGCAUAAUCAACGUCGCCUCGGCGCUAGAGGAAACUUCCAGAGAACCACUUCCUUGUCCUCGGAAAAAGAAGCUAGCGGUCUCAGGAAUUGCAGAUCAUUAUCUUUCCAUCACCAGGAAGGUAGAGCCCAAUAAACAAAGUUCCUCCAUCAAAAACGACAGCACAGAGAAGACUAGAAACCCGGUUCUUCAUGGUGUCAUUGAACCACUGACUCAAAUCGGCUCUGAAGUAAAGCCCACAUUACCACUUCUUGGAUGAAUACAAGCGGAAAAUCAGGAUUGCUCACCAAGGGAAGUAGCUGUGAUGCAAUGAAAGCAAAAUACUAUUAUUAAAUGUUAAAAAUAAGCAACAGGGGAUCCCUGGAUGGCUCAGCGGUUUAGUCCUGCCUUCAGCCCAGGGCGUGGUCCUGGAGUCUCAGGAUCCAGUCCCACGUCGGGCUCCCUGUGUGGAGCCUGCUUCUCUCUCUGCCUAUGUCUCUGAGUCUCUCUCUCUCUCUCUCUCUGUGUCUCUCAUGAAUAAAUAAAUAAAACCUUAAAAAAAUAAAAAGAAA
rnacentral:lncRNA from 1 species